rnacentral:rRNA from 1 species
CCUACGGGUGGCAGCAGUGAGGAAUAUUGGUCAAUGGACGAGAGUCUGAACCAGCCAAGUAGCGUGAAGGAUGACUGCCCUAUGGGUUGUAAACUUCUUUUAUAUGGGAAUAAAAUGUUCCACGUGUGGGAUUUUGUAUGUACCAUAUGAAUAAGGAUCGGCUAACUCCGUGCCAGCAGCCGCGGUAAUACGGAGGAUCCGAGCGUUAUCCGGAUUUAUUGGGUUUAAAGGGAGCGUAGGUGGAUUGUUAAGUCAGUUGUGAAAGUUUGCGGCUCAACCGUAAAAUUGCAGUUGAAACUGGCAGUCUUGAGUACAGUAGAGGGGGGCGGAAUUCGGGGUGUAGCGGUGAAAUGCUUAGAUAUCACGAAGAACUCCGAUUGCGAAGGCAGUUCACUGGACUGCAACUGACACUGAGGCUCGAAAGUGUGGGUAUCAAACAGGAUUAGAUACCCGGGUAGUC